rnacentral:lncRNA from 1 species
GUGGUUGAGCCAGUAAUUGACUAGUUGGUUUUGGAGUUCUGAGUUGUCCCUCGCUUUUUCCACAGCCUCUUUCAUGUCUUUGUUGAAUCUCAUGAAUUUAACUGCCAAGGCGUUUAGAUUGUUAAUCUGCUGCUCCAAAAGGCCUUCCGCGUCUGUGUCUUUUUUGCGAGCUUCGUCGACUAGAUACUGGAUGAUCACCGCGUUGAGGGCUGCGCCUCUGACAGCCUUCUUCAUGAGGAAUUCGAUGUCGUCUGUCUCUUCUUUCUUCAGAACUCUAUCGCCUUCAUCGACGGAAGCUGAAGUCUGGGCCGAGUUUCCCAUUGGUGCUGUGAUUUUGUGCUCAGUUGUGGCUUCAGCGUCGCUGGAGAGAUUUUGCUCCUCCAACACUGGUGUUGCAGAAACCUUCGAUCUCUCUACCGCAUCUUCUUUGCCUCGUGGCCGUCUCUGCGCAAACCUGGUUUUCGUUCGAGCACCCGGAUGAUGCACUUUGUUGUCGGGAGUGCCUUGUGUGGCCUUAGGUUGUUGUUUGCGGAAUGAAAUGAGUUUGUUAUCAGAGUAACGUCUUUUGCGGACCAAAGGGUUGACGUCAGAAACUUUGACGUCAUGGGACAAAGCUGCAAGCUUCACCCGAUCCCCAUCUUCGGGACGAACAUUAUGCCCUUUGUCAAACCUUGAUUUGCUUGUAUGCCCGCGCUUUCUCUCCUUUUUGUGUGUGACUUCUUUCUCAUCUGGGCUAUCAGUCAAUUUAUUUGUUCGUGAGAAUACCUUUUUCCCCGGUACUUUUCCUGCCUGUGGUGCAUGCCCUCGCAGCCGGGGUUGCUGUGCUUUGCCUGUCUGCAGUGUGGUCUUUUUCCUGUCGAGGAGAUCUUCAUCCUGCGAGAGACUAAGAUCUUGAUAGUCUGGAGCCUCGUCUGAUGCGCGUUUUGUUAGUUCCGUAUUUUCCACAGUCAUGUCAUGUACAUCGGGGAGUCGAUUCGUGGACGUGUUUUCAGCAGGGAGGCUUUCUAAAAUUGAUGUCGGCGUUUCAUGUACGACGGAUAACUCCUCUCCUUUCUCCGCCAAAGAGGCCUUUGACGAGGCUGCCGUUUCUUCCGGCACAACGAGGCUGAGCGGUGCAGCAGCAUGGACGGCGUCUGUAAACAGCAACAGGCUGAAAUGGAGAAAAUGCAUGUAGCCGUGCAAAAGGCACAUGAUAUCCAUUAGAGGGAACAUGAGUCACUCCGAGGAUAUCCGUAAUUCCUGCUCAUAGCUCCAUUGCUUCUGCUGGUGCACUCCUCGACUGUCGAGCUCAUGUGAACGUUCAUCAUAGGACAGCAAGAAUAACCACCAGUAACUGAGGAAAAACUUCAGGAUGGCAGGCUUAAACAGAGCGAAAGUCUUACCCUGUGCCUUGAGACACAGUGUUGCCCACAGUAGGGCAAAGGAGAAGCGUACUGACAGCAUUUCCGGACCGGGUUCCCUUGAGGUGGAAACAAGUGACUUCACCGAGUGAAGUGCCUGCUACGGAGAAACUGGAAAACGCCAAAUCAGAACCUGUUUUUUUACGUCGGGAUUCAGAUACCUGAAACUUCUGAUUCUAAAAUCACGGAGCCCUCUAGAUCAGAUACAUCGGAGAAAGGGAAACAAACGUGACACUUUUUGAAAACCAGAAGGAACCUUUAAAAACGGAUGUGUGCAGCAGGGCUGGACAAAGGAACGGCGUGAGAAGUACUGUCAGUGUGGCUUUUGUCAGUGCGUUGCUGGGUCGCAGCACCGCCCAAAAGGUUGGCACUUGUUUUCUCCCCACAUCU